rnacentral:rRNA from 1 species
UACGGAGGGUGCGAGCGUUGUCCGGAAUUAUUGGGCGUAAAGAGCUCGUAGGCGGUGUGUUACGUCGGCCGUGAAAACCUGCAGCUUAACUGUGGGCGUGCGGUCGAUACGGGCAUCACUGGAGUUCGGCAGGGGAGACUGGAAUUCCUGGUGUAGCGGUGAAAUGCGCAGAUAUCAGGAGGAACACCGGUGGCGAAGGCGGGUCUCUGGGCCGAUACUGACGCUGAGGAGCGAAAGCGUGGGGAGCGAACAGG